AUGAAUAUUGUCCUCCUAUCCCGUUGGCUCUGGCGCAUUUCGCAAGGGCACGACGGCCUUUGGUUAGACAUCAUCCGGAACAAGUACCUACGUGGGCAACCCCUGGCCUUCCGUCAGAGGUCCGGCGGUUCCCAGUUCUGGCAGUCGGUUAUCCAACUGCUCCCUGUCCUCCGCAUUGGGACUUCCAUCUCGGUCGGAUCGGGAGCUGCGACUUUGUUCUGGUUUGAUCGGUGGGCGGGAGACACCCCCUUCGCUGCACGCUUCCCCGACCUCUUCUCCAUCGCCGUCGACCCUUCGAUCUCCGUAGAGAGGGCCCUUAUUGACUUAGGGCGCCUCGCUUUCCGGAGGCCAUUUGGGCCUCCAGAAGCCGCCACCUGGCAGGAGUUGCUUGAUUGUGUCGCUCUCACGAGCCGGUAG
rnacentral:rRNA from 1 species